CCUACGGGUGGCAGCAGUGAGGAAUAUUGGUCAAUGGCCGGAAGGCUGAACCAGCCAUGCCGCGUGAAGGUCAGUGCCCUAUGGGCGUUAAACUUCUUUUGUGCGGGAGCAAUAAUGGUCACGUGUGGCCAGACGAGAGUACCGUACGAAUAAGCAUCGGCUAACUCCGUGCCAGCAGCCGCGGUAAUAUGGGGGAUGCAAGCGUUAUCCGGGUUUAUUGGGUUUAAAGGGUGCGUAGGGUGUGAGGUAAGUCAGCGGUGAAAUGCCCCCGCGCAACGGGGUGAAGUGCCAUUGAUACUGGCUGGCUGGAAUGCGGAUGCCGUGGGAGGAAUGUGUGGUGUAGCGGUGAAAUGCAUAGAUAUCACGCAGAACACCGAUUGCGAAGGCAUCUCACGGAUCCGCGAUUGACGCUGAUGCUCGAAAGCGUGGGUAUCAAACAGGAUUAGAUACCCGAGUAGUC
rnacentral:rRNA from 1 species